rnacentral:lncRNA from 1 species
CGGAUUUUCGCAGCGGUCGAGGCCCGGUUGACUUGGUCAACGUGUUUUAAUUUCUCGUGUGUAAAAAAACCCUAGCCUCAUAGUAGUUAGAAUAUCGGAACAAUAUCGUAGUAAAGUUUUAAUCAUUCAAGCACAUUAUCAGUUGUAUUGGAUCGUUCUUUGCGAGGAAGUGACAGUUUCGAGCAAGAUCGUGAACAUCAAAUCUGUAACGUGUGAUCCUUAUUAUUAUUAAUUCAAGC